GACUGGUGUGGUACAGAUAUGUUCUAAAAGGGUCAAUACACAUUGGAUUCUUACCCGAUAUCUGUUUCUAUGGAAGAGGCAG